CAGAACCUUCCUCUUUGCAGAGAAACUUUUCUCUCUUCUUCAACUUGCCUGAGAAGUCGCAUGUGAUCGUGUGUGUGGUCUUUUCUGUUGCAGACUCAGUUCUCGGAUUCUGGCAGCGGGCUGCAGGUGAAUUCGACCCAUCCUCCCUGGCAUCUGUCUUCUUCUUCUUCUUCUUCUUCUUCUUCUACUUCUUCUUCUCUGGCCUCGCAGCCUGUCCAUCAAAAAGAACAUUUCACUGUCACAUCAGCUCCGACACAGAAACACCAUCAUGUGAACGUGGCCCAGAUCAGCAGCUGUUCAGUUAAACUCCAGAGAAAACCUCCAAGAAUCUCACUUUGUAUAGAUUUAGUAAAGACAUUUGUCUUAGUUGCUCAACCGUGACCAUAAACUGUGUAUGACUUGGAUUUCUUUGUUUAAAUGAAACAGUAAUAAUCACCUGCCUGUCGACA